rnacentral:rRNA from 1 species
GAUGAACGCUGGCGGCGUGCCUAAUACAUGCAAGUCGAGCGAACAGACGAGGAGCUUGCUCCUCUGACGUUAGCGGCGGACGGGUGAGUAACACGUGGAUAACCUACCUAUAAGACUGGGAUAACUUCGGGAAACCGGAGCUAAUACCGGAUAAUAUAUUGAACCGCAUGGUUCAAUAGUGAAAGACGGUUUUGCUGUCACUUAUAGAUGGAUCCGCGCCGCAUUAGCUAGUUGGUAAGGUAACGGCUUACCAAGGCGACGAUGCGUAGCCGACCUGAGAGGGUGAUCGGCCACACUGGAACUGAGACACGGUCCAGACUCCUACGGGAGGCAGCAGUAGGGAAUCUUCCGCGAAGGGCGAAAGCCUGACGGAGCAACGCCGCGUGAGUGAUGAAGGUCUUCGGAUCGUAAAACUCUGUUAUUAGGGAAGAACAAAUGUGUAAGUAACUAUGCACGUCUUGACGGUACCUAAUCAGAAAGCCACGGCUAACUACGUG